rnacentral:rRNA from 1 species
GACGAACGCUGGCGGCGUGCCUAACACAUGCAAGUCGAGCGAGAGACUUCGGUCUCUAGCGGCGGACGGGUGAGUAACACGUGGGUAACCUACCUCAUAGAGGGGGAUAGCCUCCCGAAAGGGAGAUUAAUACCGCAUAAUAUGUAUUGAUCGCAUGAUGGAUACAUUAAAGGAGAAAUCCGCUAUGAGAUGGACCCGCGGCGCAUUAGCUAGUUGGAGAGGUAAAGGCUCACAAAGGCGACGAUGCGUAGCCGACCUGAGAGGGUGAUCGGCCACAUUGGAACUGAGACACGGUCCAGACUCCUACGGGAGGCAGCAGUGGGGAAUAUUGCACAGUGGGGGAAACCCUGAUGCAGCAACGCCGCGUGAGUGAAGAAGGCCUUCGGGUUGUAAAGCUCUGUCAUUGGGGACGAUAAUGACGGUACCCAAUGAGGAAGCCACGGCUAACUACGUGCCAGCCGCCGCGGUAAAAC